AUGGAGGAAUGGGACCUUCUGGUAACGCUACAAACUAUCAGGCGGAAUGGAAAAGAGACAGGCUGUUACACCCAGGAACACACCCAUAGCAUUCAUUACCAAACGCGAGAUCAAAGACUCUAACACAGUACUAGUGAUCUCUGGAAAGCAAAGGAACAAAGGACUUCUUCCAAAACAGCAGCUGGUAGUUCUGACCUCGAAGUCCGUGUCUGUUUUCAGCUCCAGGAAUCAUCCAAAUCAUGCUAGAACAGAGAACUUCAAAACAAAAAUGGAAAAACAAGUAAAGAGAAGGAGAGUGAACACAGAAGACUGGGACGUGGGGAAGACAGGAGAAAGGUAUGUGGUGAAACAAGCUCCAGGCCAUGGCCCUGCGUAGGACAACGCUCAGCGCUCUGGGACUCCUGCGUCAGCGCAGACGUACGGUGCUUACAGACGGCGUUUCCACACGUUUAACAAAAUGCAGAAUGAAGUUGCACAUGUAUGUUUUAUGUCUGCUGUGUUGCUUCAUAAACAUUAGCCAUAUGAAGGGCAAAGGCUCACAGUGCAGCCAGUGGUUCAGAUAACAGAGGGAGAGAGGGGGAGAAGGAGAGAGAGGAUGGGCACAAAUGAUGACGCCAACGGAAGGAAAUGUGGACUUGCGUAAAGCUGGGUGAGCAACAGAGAAAACUCCUGGUGCUGUUUUUAUCCUUGCAACAUUUCUGGAAUUCUGAAGUUUUUAAAUAGUUAAUAAAUAAAUAGAAAACCUUAUUAAACACUAAAUCAAUCACACACACACACACUUUAUGGACUCAGCAGGUCUGUGUGUUCGACGCAGGACCUGGAAAAGCCAGUGGCCCUCUGGCAUCUCCAGCCAGAGAGAUGGAGCUCUCCCAUCCAGUGGUUCCUUCCCCAAAUGCCUGUGACUCCAGGAGCUGGAAACGUCCCCGGGUGGGGGGCAGGGACUCAAGCAUUUGAGCCACUGCCCGCUGCGUCUCAGGUGCACAUCGCAGGAAGCUGGGAUCUGGCGCGGCGCCAGGGCAUUCCAGCAAGGGAUCAGUUUAAAAGAAAAAAGCUAAAAGAAGAAGGGGAGAACUGAAAGACAGAACUGGAAGAAGACAGCGAACCAAGUCAUGGCGGGCAUCUCAAUCAGACGGCUGUUUUAGGGCAACAGCUCCGGGAGACGGCCUGUACAAGUCAAGUGUGGAGGUAACGGGGGCCCCAGGCCAGAGCACAAGGCUGCACCUUAGAAGACUGUCUGGGGCCACUGCCGUGGCGCAGCAGGUGAAGCCACCACUUGCAACUCCAGCAUCUCAUAUUGGAGUGACAGUUUGAGCCCUGGCUGCUUCACUUCCAAUCCAGCUCCCUGAUAACGUGCUCGGGAAAGCAGUGGAUGUCAGCCCAGGUUUCUGGUCCCCUGCUAUAUGGGACCUAUGUGGGACCGGGAUGGAGUGCCAGGCUCCUGGCUUUGGUCUGGCCCAGCCCUGGUGUUAUGGCCAUGUGAAGAGUAAAAGAGAAGACGGAAGAUCUCUUUCUGUCUUGUCCUAUCACUCUGCCUUCCAAAUAAACAGAAACACUACCUAACGUUUGUUAAUUAAUAUUCAUUUCUUCAACUGUCAUUAUCAGGCAUAGCACCCCAUGUUUCAACCAUUACGUGGGUCAGCAAGAGACAGCAGGGAGUUCGUGUCUAUCCUCCGAGCCAAUGCCAUUCCAGCCAUAAAGGACAACCAGAGUGAGGACUAAUCCUAGACCAAGUCCCAAACUCCAUAAGCGCUGAAAAUCACUGUGGCUGUUCUCCCAUCUCUGCUGUCCCACCCAGGCUUAGCCCAGGGCCUGGGCCACCGCUUAGCCUCUACACCGACCAUCUCUGAAAGGCCACCUGCACUUUCAGCUCUGCUGGAAUCCCUAUGAUAAACACACAAAACCCUCAAAAAGGGUCUGAAGUCAUUCAAAGGCAUCUAAAAAUAAGUUCAUCACCGCCCCUGUAGAGAAAGAAUUGGAGGAAAGGAGGAGGGCACUGGCCUAUAGCUUGGUGGCUCAUUCUCGAGGUUAAAGUGUUAACCAUGUCUGGUUCAGUUUUACCCACACCAAAGAGGCUGCCUUAGAAAUGCAAAUGUUAGGAGCUCUGCUUGCUUGACGCUUCAUACGUGAGGGGAUGCCAGAGGCCUUCAGCACUCAGCACAGCUUAGCAGUCCCAAGAGUCCGCCUCCCUGAAGGAUGCUGUCCACCACCUACACCUACAGUAUUCUCAGAAUGGACUGAAGAGCACACACGCCCCACUUGUAAGACUUUGGUGAAGGAAGGAGCCAGGCAGAGCUACACAUGGGGGCAGUUACCCCCCCUUUUUUUUAAGGUUUAUUUAUUUAUUUGAAAGAGUUCUAAAGAAAGAGAGCCAGAGCGAAAGCAAGUGAGAGCGAGCGAGUGAGCGAGCGAGCGAGAAUAUGAAUGAAUCUAUCUUCCAUCCCUUGGUUCAUUCCCCAGAUGGUUGCAAUGGCUGGCACUGGGCCAGGCUAAAGCCAGGCGCUUCUUUCGGGUCUCCCAUGUGGGUGCAGGGGCCCAAGCACUUGGGUGGUUCUCCCCCCCUCCCCCGCUGCUUUCCCAGGUGCAUUAGCAGGAAGUUUUUCCUCCUCCUUGUCCGCUUUCAUCAGCACAGACUUAACUCCCUUAUACCCAGACACCUGCUGGGACCUGAGCUCCCAAAAUUUGUUACCAGCGUGACAAGCAAUCAGGACUUCACAGAGACCCCACUGCCAGGGGCCCCUCAAGAAGCAAGGGUUCCGUUUCCAGGUGGUGGAUCUGCAGUUGAUAAUUCUGCCAUUUUCACUGCAUUUCCUGAAGAUCAGGGUCAGCUUCUGAAAAGCUGUUAAACGACAUGCUAAAUGCGAAUGUCAACCUCACUCCAAACUCCCCCUGUUCAGGAUGAUGAAGGCUCUACGAAGGCUCCCUGGGGCUCUGCAGCGGCUUUCUGAUUUGGGUCGUCCAUUGAAGAAGGGAGCCGAAUGCUGCCGCAUACUGUUGACGACUGUCUGCCCAUGUCCUGCCUGAAAUGUCAUAAUUGCUUAUGAAAAGAAUCUUUCUUUGUCUCUUCCUCUCUCUCCCUGUAACGCUACCUUUCAAAUAAAAUAAGUAAAAAAAAUUUUUU